rnacentral:lncRNA from 1 species
GAGAAAUCCUAUAAAUGUAAUCAAUGUAGCAAAGCUUUUGCAUGUCAUAGUAAUCUUCAAAGCCAUAAAAGAAUGCAUACUGGAGAGAACCCUAUGAAUGAAAUCAAUAUGAUAAAGCCUUUUCACAACCAAGUAAUCUCCAAAUACAUAAAAGAAAGCAUACUGGAGAGAAACCUUAGAAAUGUAAUGAAUGUGAUAACGCCUUUUCACAAUAUGUAUUUAUGUCUCCAAAUACAUAAAAGAACGCAUGUGGAAAGAAACUGUGUGUAUGUAACCAAUGUGGUAAAGCCUUUGCAAGUCACAGUGAUCUUCAAAGGUCAUGCUUUGAAUAUGCUUGGCCCAUGGGAGAGUGGCACUAUUAGGAGAUGUGGCCUUGUUUGAAGAAUUGUGUCACUGUGGAGGUGGGCUUUUGGCUCUUCCAGCACUGAACACUGCCGUGCUUACCUCCAUGAUGAUAAUGGACUGAACCUUUGAAUCUGUAAGGCAUCUCCAUUAAAUGCCUUUUAUAAGAGUUGCCUUGGUAUCUUUUCACAGCAUUAAAACCCUAAUUCAGACAAAAACAUGAAAGAA